UUCCGAUCUCCGCGCGCGGCGGGCGGGGCGGGGGCACGGGGGGAGGAAUUGGCGGGGGAGCACCACAACGGGUGGAGCUUGCGGUUUAAUUGGAUUCAACGCCGGAAAUCUUACCGGGACCGACAGCAAUAUGAAGGCCAGGCUGAAGACUUUGCCGGAUUAGCUGAGAGGUGGUGCAUGGCCGUCGUCAGUUCGUACUGUGAAGCAUCCUGUUAAGUCAGGCAACGAGCGAGACCCACGCCCACAGUUGCCAGCGUACUCUCUGGAGUGACGGGUACACUGUGGGGACCGCCGCUGCUAAAGCGGAGGAAGGAAUGGGCAACGGUAGGUCAGUAUGCCCCGAAUAUCCCGGGCUACACGCGAGCUACAAUGGUUGGUACAAUGGGUAUCUACCCCGAAAGGGGACGGGAAUCUCCUAAAACCAAUCUUAGUUCGGAUUGAGGGCUGCAACUCGCCCUCAUGAAGCUGGAAUCCGUAGUAAUCGCGUUUCAACAGAACGCGGUGAAUACGUCCCUGCUCCUUGCACACACCGCCCGAG
rnacentral:rRNA from 1 species